AGGAGCAGAACAAUUCAGGAUCAGGUUUAGAAUCAGGAUCAGGUUUAGAAUCAGGAUCAGGUUUAGAAUAACGAUCAGGAUCAGAUUUAGAGUCAGGAUCAGGUUUAGAAUCAGGAUCAGGUUUAGAAUCAGGAUCAGAUUUAGAAUCAGGAU